AGUGAACGCUGGCGGUAGGCCUAACACAUGCAAGUCGAACGGCAGCACAGUAAGAGCUUGCUCUUACGGGUGGCGAGUGGCGGAAGGGUGAGGAAUACAUCGGAAUCUACUUUUUCGUGGGGGAUAACGUAGGGAAACUUACGCUCAUACCGCAUACGCCCUACGGGUGAAAGCAGGGGAUCUUCGGACCUUGCGCGAUUGAAUGAGCCGAUGUCGGAUUAGCUAGUUGGCGGGGUAAAGGCCCACCAAGGCGACGAUCCGUAACGGGUCUGAGAGGAUGAUCAGCCACACUGGAACUGUGACACAGUCCAGACGCCUACGGGAGGCCGCAGGGGGGAAUAGUGGACAAUGGGCGCAAGGCUGAUCCAGCCAGACCGCGUGGGUGAAGAAGGCCUUCGGGUUGGAAAGCCCUUUUGUGGGGAAAGAAAAGCAGCAGGUUAAGACCCCGCUGUUCUGACGGUACCCAAAGAAUAAGCACCGGCUAACUUCGUG
rnacentral:rRNA from 1 species